CAGCCGCCGCGGGAAUACAGAGGGUGCGAGCGUUAAUCGGAUUUACUGGGCGUAAAGCGUGCGUAGGCGGCUAAUUGAGUCGGAUGUGAAAUCCCCGAGCUUAACUUGGGAAUUGCAUUCGAUACUGGUUAGCUAGAGUGUGGGAGAGGAUGGUAGAAUUCCAGGUGUAGCGGUGAAAUGCGUAGAGAUCUGGAGGAAUACCGAUGGCGAAGGCAGCCAUCUGGCCUAACACUGACGCUGAGGUACGAAAGCAUGGGGAGCAAACAGGAUUAGAUACCCCGGUAGUCCCUGUCUCUUAUAC
rnacentral:rRNA from 1 species